CCACGGGGGGCAGCAGUGGGGAAUAUUGGACAAUGGGCGAAAGCCUGAUCCAGCCAUGCCGCGUGUGUGAAGAAGGCCUUCGGGUUGUAAAGCACUUUCAGUGGGGAAGAAAGCCUUGGGGCUAAUACCCUCGAGGAAGGACAUCACCCACAGAAGAAGCACCGGCUAACUCCGUGCCAGCAGCCGCGGUAAUACGGAGGGUGCGAGCGUUAAUCGGAAUUACUGGGCGUAAAGCGCGCGUAGGCGGUCUGAUAAGCCGGUUGUGAAAGCCCCGGGCUCAACCUGGGAACGGCAUCCGGAACUGUCAGGCUAGAGUGCAGGAGAGGAAGGUAGAAUUCCCGGUGUAGCGGUGAAAUGCGUAGAGAUCGGGAGGAAUACCAGUGGCGAAGGCGGCCUUCUGGACUGACACUGACGCUGAGGUGCGAAAGCGUGGGUAGCAAACAGGAUUAGAUACCCUGGUAGUC
rnacentral:rRNA from 1 species